GGGGAUCAACUUUAAGCCCUCUUUUUCACAGCCGACGAAGGUCCAUUGCCAAUGGAUGGAGCAGCCUUGCUCGAUUGUCCAACCACCCCUCGCACUAUAGCCAGAACCCCUAAUGGAAGAAACGGUGGAUAAUACAUGGCCAUCAAAUUGGCUGAUGCCUUCUGGGAAUUGAGAAUGUCUCCCACCAUAGCUGUCUGAAUUCAGAACGGAAUUCAAAUAUAAGUAUAACGGAAGGGAUCAUGUUUAUAAAAUUAAUUUGCAUACUAAAGAAAGAAAGAAAAUUAUUUUAGUUACCGUAGAGGCAACGAUAGAGGCACCAAAGAGGAGGCAGGUGGUGUUGAACCAGGGCUUAGAGUAUAACAACCCAUAGAUGUUAAGCAAAGCGAGAGGGAGUUGGUAAACAAGUUCCAACGUCAUAAGUGCCUUGAAAAAAGCAGGCUGCUCAAGCACCAAAUAAUCUUGGGUUAACGUGGUAUAAACUUGAUAGAAGGGAUUGUAGGCGUGGGGGAGGAUGGACUCGGGGAUGUCC
rnacentral:lncRNA from 1 species